rnacentral:rRNA from 1 species
GAUGAAGGGAGCUUGCUCCUGGAUUCAGCGGCGGACGGGUGAGUAAUGCCUAGGAAUCUGCCUGGUAGUGGGGGAUAACGUUCCGAAAGGAACGCUAAUACCGCAUACGUCCUACGGGAGAAAGCAGGGGACCUUCGGGCCUUGCGCUAUCAGAUGAGCCUAGGUCGGAUUAGCUAGUUGGUGAGGUAAUGGCUCACCAAGGCGACGAUCCGUAACUGGUCUGAGAGGAUGAUCAGUCACACUGGAACUGAGACACGGUCCAGACUCCUACGGGAGGCAGCAGUGGGGAAUAUUGGACAAUGGGCGAAAGCCUGAUCCAGCCAUGCCGCGUGUGUGAAGAAGGUCUUCGGAUUGUAAAGCACUUUAAGUUGGGAGGAAGGGCUGUAGGCUAAUAUCCUGCAGUUUUGACGUUACCAACAGAAUAAGCACCGGCUAACUUCGUGCCAGCAG